rnacentral:rRNA from 1 species
GCUUGUUGGUGGGGUAAAGGCCUACCAAGGCGAUGAUCGAUAGCUGGUCUGAGAGGAUGAUCAGCCACACUGGGACUGAGACACGGCCCAGACUCCUACGGGAGGCAGCAGUGGGGAAUAUUGGACAAUGGGCGAAAGCCUGAUCCAGCAAUGCCGCGUGUGUGAAGAAGGUCUUCGGAUUGUAAAGCACUUUCGACGGGGACGAUGAUGACGGUACCCGUAGAAGAAGCCCCGGCUAACUUCGUGCCAGCAGCCGCGGUAAUACGAAGGGGGCUAGCGUUGCUCGGAAUGACUGGGCGUAAAGGGCGUGUAGGCGGUUUGCACAGUCAGAUGUGAAAUUCCAGGGCUUAACCUUGGGGCUGCAUUUGAUACGUGUAGACUAGAGUGUGAGAGAGGGUUGUGGAAUUCCCAGUGUAGAGGUGAAAUUCGUAGAUAUUGGGAAGAACACCGGUGGCGAAGGCGGCAACCUG